rnacentral:SRP_RNA from 2 species
GCCAGGUGUGGUUGUGUGUGCCUGUAGUUCCAGCUACUUGGAAGGCUGAGGCAGGAGGAUUGCUUGAGCGCAGGAGGUUGAGGCUGCAGUGAACCAUGAUGGUGCCACUGCACUCCAGCCUGGGUGACAGAGCAAGACCCUGUCUCAG